rnacentral:piRNA from 1 species
AACCACGGAGUGGUGUCCGCG